rnacentral:lncRNA from 1 species
UUGAAAGGUGGUAUACUUAAAUGUAAUAAACCCAAACCUUAAACAUGAGUGGUUAUAAGGUUUGCUAUAUGGGAUGUAUAUGUAAAAAUCCCUAAUUCCAAUCGUAACUAAUCUCUUCUAACUUGGGCCCAAGGUGAGCCUAAUUUUUUAAAAUAAUGAGCACCUCAUCGACGUGCAAGGUCAGAUCUGAGUUUGAUCGUUCCCCAUCUGGGCCGGUGUGAAGCCCAGUUCUCAUGCUCCAAAUUGUCCAUACCAAAUUGUUCUCAUGCUCAACUGAUGCCAACAUGGAACAUGAAAUCAAGUUAGAAAAUUUAAACUCUUAUUUUAAAAUAUCAAACACCAACUACCUAUCUAGUUUUUUGAUUUUAAUUAUUCCAACAUAAAAUGACCAGAUUAACAUUUUGAAUGAGAAUUUCCAAAUCAAGCAAUCAUUUGAUCAUGAUGCUUGAAAUCAGUUUUAAAUUAGUUUCAGAACGAAUCUAAACCUUAAUUUCAAAAAUGAUCAUGCGUGUAAAACAGAAUCUGGGUAAAUUAAUAAAAACAUACAAGUUAGCACCUAGCAUUUUGACGAAUUCAAAUGGACAUCAAGGUUGAAACAGUACUGAUAUUCAGCAAAACUGCACAAAAGUCUAUAACUCAAAACAUCAAAUUGAACUUAUGAUGCCAAUGCCCUAACAACUCCUUUACUUUACACACUCAAACUCAUUUAAAAACUGAGUAACUAGAGUCCAUAGUCCACUACAAACAUAGAUUUACUUUAACUUUUGAGCACAGAUUCAUAACAUUUUACCCUCACACAGAUUCAGGGUAUGCGAGUAAUAAAAGAAACAGCCUAAGCUGACACUUGUAAUUUAAAACCUAACUACAGAACAUUGAAAGUAGUAGGAGAAACAGAAAAAAACUAAUUCAGUUUAAUUUUCUGUAGUCAACAUUUACUCGUUGUUCAUGGGCUAGAGAAAUACCCGGAGAGCAAAAUAACAGAAAAAUGAGAGACUAGCAGUAAGAAGAAUCAGUCAGCCCAGAUUCGAUCAAUGAACAGUGAAAUCAGCUCAUGAAAAUCAAUGAAAUAGUAGAGAAAGUCCAAAACCAACUCUUGAAAUCCCAAAUUGAAACUAUUUUUAACCAGAUGCCAUGACUUGAAAAUAACCUUUUGAAAUUUUUUUAAAACCAACACAAGAAAUCUAGAAGCUGAAAGUUAAUGUGAUUUAUUAAUUUCACAAAAAGGAUCCAGAACUUCAAGUGUUCUCACAGAAUUCACUCCAAAGUAUCCAGUCGUUUCCUUUUAGUCCUUUUCUAUCUCAGGUUUUUUCUGACUUGAAUAUCAAGUCAUGGUGCCUUUAUAGGCAAGGCAUUAGGGCUGCCUAAAAGAAAUCAAUUUUGUAUUUAGAACAUUUUGAUAUUUUUAUUUAUCUUAGGUACCAUUAGUUUAAAAAUAAAAAUUCAAAAUAGUCCCUACUCCAGCUUCCUAGAAGUUUCCUAAUUCAGUUUAAUGAAAUUCCCUAAGCUACACUACCCAAAAUACCCCUCAAACCCCUGAAAAGUACAUCAGAAUUCCAAAUGGGCCAAUUUAACCCAAUGACUUAAACCAAAAUGAACGGUCUGUACUUUGCAAAUGGUCAGAAACAACCUAAAUCCCAAAUAAUAAAUUAACCCAGCUAAAUUCUAUAGGCACUUGGAAAAACAGAAUAACACAAUCAUUGAAACGAUUUCUAUAAUCAAAAUCCUAAACUAAGUUACUGAUUAGACAGAAAUAUGCAGGGAAUUAACUCAGUUAUUAAAUCAAAACGACCUAAUAAAAUUAAACUAAUCGGCUAAACAAAGGAUGAAAUAAGAACUUUAAUAGAUCUCAUUAUCCAAACUUAAUGGACCAAGAAAAUCAAAGAACCGAAUUUGGGAAAAUAAAACUAACGAGGAACACAAGAACAUAACCUAUUCUCAACCAGAAGAUUAGUCGAGUUUCAGUUGAAUCGACCAGAGAAAAAGAAAGAGAGAUGAUAAGGAACAAAAAUUGAAAUAACAUCCAAUAUGAACAAAGAAAGGAAGAAGAACUUACCCAUCAAAGUUUGAACCCUGGCCUUGACAUUCCGAUUUCAUCCCCAAACAUUGCCAAUCACUUGUUCUUUGUCAAGAACAAGCGAACAACAUUAUUUCGUAACAAAACCAGCCCUAAAAACUCAUGAGAGGUAGAAUAAUAACCCUGCAUGUACAGGUCUGGAUUUGGGGCUUUUAGGGCACGAACCUUAGAUUUGAUAUUCAAAACAUUCUAGCAUAAUUCGAUGAAAAAGGAGUGAAAAUUUGGAAUGAGGGGGUUAUGAUGGUUAUGUGGUGUUAAUUUAGGGCCGUUUUGUGCUGGUGUCGCUACCAAAGAGGAGGGAAUUUUAGGGUGAUGCUAGGGUUUAGAGUUUGAGUCUCUGAGAGGGGGGGGGUGAGANNN